rnacentral:lncRNA from 1 species
GUUCACCCCUACCCCCCAGCUUCAAACCCAGUUCUCUGACCGUGAACCUUUCUGCCAGAACCAGAGUCUGUGCCAACUACAAGGAGAAAGUUUUUCCUGAUGGACCCACCAUCCCUGCUCCUGAAGGCCCAUCUGAACCAGCCCUGCCAUCUCCCUGGUUCCUCGUGAAGGAGCUGAAGAGAAUCUCUGCCACGUCUUCAUCCUAUGUUUGUGUGAGAGUUUUCUGUCUAGAAUUGUACGAUGCUGCGGCACAGCACGAUGAGGUCGCUGACGGCUGAGUGUGGAGAAUCGCUAGGGAGAGGGGAAGCUGAGACCACAGCUAACUCCUGACGUGCCCGGAGCUCCCGGGCUCUCCAGCUGGUGCCUAUCAGACCAGUGAGAGGACAGGGGGCCUGAGGGUGGCUAUCCACAGCCGCCAGGGGCCACCAGGGAGGUACCUGGAGCUGGUCUUCUUGGCAAUGAGCUGCGGCAUUGCCUGUGCCCCUGAGGACCACUGAGGCAUCUCAGAGUAUCACGCCCAUCAGAGAAUCAAGUGGAAGUUCAGGAAGGGACACAGCACCCCUGGUUCUCACCCUGCCUUGGUGACGGAGACCCCAACCCAGCGAGGCAGGUGGUGCUGAGCUACACAGGUCAUGAGUGGCAGGUCUGGGACCUGAACUCAGGCCUGAGGUUAGUUCACCCACCUCUGGGGCACACAGCUACACCCUCUUUGCCAGCUGGGUUCCGGCCAUGGAUUGAGGUGGAAGUGAUGGGUGCCACUUCCAGGCCCAGCCCAUGAACGACCUCUGUGAGAUCUUCUGCACCUUCUCU